rnacentral:tRNA from 1 species
GGGCGAGUGGCGGAAUGGCAUACGCAGCGGACUUAAAAUCCGCCGGGGAAACCCAUGAGGGUUCGACUCCCUCCUUGCCCA